rnacentral:lncRNA from 1 species
AAUCAAUUAAUGGAUCCCAUCAAAGUUGCUAUUGAUCUUGUAGAGCAGUGUUUCCCAAACUUUCAACAUCUGUAUACCCCUUUUAUAAUUUUCAUAACAUUGAGUACCUCUUUAAAAAAAAUUACAUAUACUUUAGUAACAAUUAAAGUAUAUGCAGUUUCUUUUUAUGAGAUCAUAGGAUGGAAGAAUGUGCAGAAUCACAGCACCCGGUGAUGCCAUGGUUACACAAUACAUACAAAACCACACAUACACAAUACUAACAAAUAACGAAGUUUUUUAUUAUUUUUCUAUAUUUGUAUUCGAAAAAAGUAAACUGCUUGAUGCACAGGCAGAGUCAAAGCCCGGUGCAGC